GACGAACGCUGGCGGCGUGCCUAAUACAUGCAAGUUGAGCGCUGAAGGUUGGUACUUGUACCAACUGGAUGAGCAGCGAACGGGUGAGUAACGCGUGGGGAAUCUGCCUUUGAGCGGGGGACAACAUUUGGAAACGAAUGCUAAUACCGCAUAAAAACUUUAAACACAAGUUUUAAGUUUGAAAGAUGCAAUUGCAUCACUCAAAGAUGAUCCCGCGUUGUAUUAGCUAGUUGGUGAGGUAAAGGCUCACCAAGGCGAUGAUACAUAGCCGACCUGAGAGGGUGAUCGGCCACAUUGGGACUGAGACACGGCCCAAACUCCUACGGGAGGCAGCAGUAGGGAAUCUUCGGCAAUGGACGAAAGUCUGACCGAGCAACGCCGCGUGAGUGAAGAAGGUUUUCGGAUCGUAAAACUCUGUUGGUAGAGAAGAACGUUGGUGAGAGUGGAAAGCGCAUCAAGUGACGUUAACUACCCAGAAAGGGACGGCUAACUACGG
rnacentral:rRNA from 1 species